UGAAGGUCUUCCAGUAGAAGGAGGUAACCAAGCCAUGGGAUUCCCUGAAGGGGUAUAAACCUCACCACCUCCAUCUUGCCCUUCAGUACUCUUACCCCGAUCAAACCUUCUAGUUUCUUCUAUAGAUUCCUUCAACUCAACCAAAGUCUUUUCAUGUUGAGCCUUCAAUUAAUUUUGUCUAACAUUAAAGUUGGCAAUUUCCACCGCCAUCCUUUCAAACAUUGAUUUAAUUUCAUCCAUAUCUGUAGACAUUGCAAUCCCACAGAGCUCAAGAAAGUUCUUUGAUGUCAAAUGUUGCAGAACAAUUAAUAAGAAGUAAUGGGACAGUGUUCUAGUGGAAUAAUAGCCAGAUAAAUUGCAGAAAUGGAACUAAGUUAGAUUGAGAACUAAGCUAAAAACUAAUUAUGGCUAAGAUAUUUUUCAUAUAUAAUAGUAACAAUGGAAAUGACUCAUUACAAUUUAUAGUAUUUCAACCCAGCUGACUCAUCCUAAUCCUUACAGGAUAAGGCUGAAAUUGUACUGCUCUCUUCAGCCACGAUUUUUUGUUUUUCAGUUGGUGACAGCUUCAUCCUCAUCAUAGCGCCGCCUCCCCUCCGACAACUGCGCCAACCAACCAUCAGUCCCCUCUCGUCCUCCUCCUUCCCCGUUCCGUCGCGACCUCGCCGCCCACCAGCCGCCUCCGAGCCCCUCCUCUUCUUCGCUUUGCGCCGCCGCUGCUCCACCGGCUACCACCACCUCGAGCAUCCGUGAACAACGACGACCAGCCCCUCGUCACCGCUUGAAUCCAUCACUCCAGCCGCCAGAUCCCCUCCGUUCACGCCACCAGCUGGCGACAACAGCUUCUUCGUCACAUGCAACAGCCGCCAUAGCUACAUCUCCGCUCUCUCUACCGAAAAGUACAUAUUUUCGGGACUAAGGUUUGGAGGAAUUGAAGAGUUGAUCGAGGAUUUGAGAGGGAUUAUGUUUUUCCCUUUUAGUUUAGUCGAUUCUUCUUUUUAUUGGUAUGUAAUAUUGUAUAAACGCUACACUGAUGUAAUAAUAAAUUGGGGACUGCUUCUGGGGAACGGGGAACUAUGUGCUUUAUGAAUAAUAUCGUUAGGCACUGAUUUAGGCUUCA